UACGAAGGGGGCGAGCGUUGUUCGGAUUUACUGGGCGUAAAGGGCGCGCCGGCUGCGCAUUUUGUCAGGCGUGAAAGCCCCGGGCUUAACCUGGGAACUGCGUUUGAUACGGAUGGGCUAGAGUUCGGGAGAGGAGAGUGGAAUUCCCAGUGUAGAGGUGAAAUUCGUAGAUAUUGGGAAGAACACCGGUGGCGAAGGCGGCUCUCUGGACCGAGACUGACGCUGAGGCGCGAAAGCGUGGGGAGCAAACAGG
rnacentral:rRNA from 1 species